GGUUGCAUAAAAGGCAGUUUGUGUCCUCAAACAUGAACUGUCUAAAGCCCAACACUUCAAAACAACUAGCAGCCAGCUGUUAAAAAUGGAAGCUUUCAUAAAGAUUAUUUUAGUUGUAUAUUUGUUGCUUUCCUGGCCAUCAGAUGGACCAGCAAUUUUGAUGCAGAAUCUCUCAGAGGUGCCAAGGUAUUGGUGACUGGGUCCAGUAAAGGCAUCGGCGAACAAAUGGCAUAUCAUUAUGCCCGCUUUGGAGCCAAGAUUGUUAUUACAGCAAGAAGCAAGGACACACUGCAGAAGGUAGUAGAAAAGUGUCUGAGUUUGGGAGCCCAGGAGGCUUUUAUAU